GUCUCCCAUGCGCCAAGUGAGCGAGCGACCAGGACGUACGCCUAGCUAGUUACAACUGGGCGGGCAGUCACGUGCCGGGCAGAAGACGACCUUGAGCUCACCGGGCGCGAUGCAGUUCUGCGGCGUUGCCUCCACGUCUGUGGAGGUUGUCCUCGUGUCCGGGCACCUGUUCUUGAACAGUGCCGCUUCAGUCCCCGCUGCCCCGCAGCCGCCCUCGGGCGCCCUGGCGCCGGCGCCGGCGGCGGGGCAGCACUCCUGGUCCUGGGUGAGGUCCACGGCGCACCCCAGCGUCGGGCACUGCGCCCCCGCCGCGAAGUCGCACGGCGUCACCACCAUGGGCACGUUGAACCCAUCCACCAGGCUCACGCUGUACUCCGCCAGCCCGCCGGACCCGCCCACGCUCACCUGCGCCACCGUAACCGGCGGCGUGUUGCCGGUCUUGCACUGCGGAGAGCAGUUGUCAUCGCACGACAUGCCAUCGUCAGCGCACCCCGUGCGCGCCACCAC
rnacentral:misc_RNA from 1 species